GAUGAACGCUAGCUACAGGCUUAACACAUGCAAGUCGAGGGACCGGCGCACGGGUGAGUAACACGUAUCCAAUCUGCGCUUUACUCGGGGAUAGCCUGUCGCAAGUAAGAUUAAUACCCUAUAUAAAGGAUGGGGAUGCGUACCAUUAGGUUGUUGGUGAGGUAAAGGCCCACCAAGCCUUCGAUGGAGAGGGGUUCUGAGAGGAAGGUCCCCCACAUUUGAAAUGAGACACGGUCCAAACUCCUACGGGAGGCAGCAGUGAGGAAUAUUGGUCAAUGUGCGGUAGCCUGAACCAGCCAAGUAGCGUGAAGGAGGAAGGCUUAUGGGUCGUAAACUUCUUUUAUAUAAGAAUAGGUAUUAUAUGAAUAAGGAUCGGCUAACUCCGUGCCAGCCGCCGCGGUAAUUC
rnacentral:rRNA from 1 species